GUGCAGGGCGGCCGGUCAGGUCCCGAAGCCUCCGUGCGCGGCAUGCGGCCGUCCAGCGAGCCGGCCGCUGGGCCAGGAUCUUUACUGCGCCGCAUGCUAUAGUGAGGCACUGCUGCUGUCGCCGAGCCUGGCGCCCUCAAGGUGCUCCCCGGCGCCCAGCACGUGCUCGUCUGGUUCGUGGAGCCUAGUUACGGCGCGCACACCCAGCCAUGUUGGAGCCAGCCCGCGCAGUUCCAGCCUCGGAUACGGCGGCGGCGAGGUCUGCGCACGUUGCCACGAUACGGUCUACUUCGCCGAGAGGCAGGUGGGCACAGCCGGGCGCGUGUACCACGUGCGCUGCUUUCGGUGCCGGGCGUGCGAGCAGCGGCUGGCCUCGGGCUCCUACCGAUCGGACGGCGGGGAGCUCUACUGCGAGCCCUGCCACCGGCGGCAUCUAGGGCCCAGGGGCUAUGGCUACGGACUCGGCUCGGCCUUGCGAUGCUUCCCGGGACGCCUCUGAAGACGCCGUGCAGGGAAGCAGCAACCUCAAGGCCCUGUCGUCCAGAUCACAAUGACAGCCUGCGCUUGAAAAACUGAAACAAGAAAAAAAAUUCGAGAUAGGGUGAGGUUAUGCAAAUGGUAGACCAAAAUUUUUCCCCCCCUCCAUGCCCUAAUGUGCAACUAAAAGUUGUCUCAAAGAUCCCAAGGGCUUUUCAAUUCCUCGCAGCUGCACAGUGUAAAAUUACACAGUGUAGCUGCACAGUGUAAAAUUACACAAAUAUAACUUGUAGUGCCCUGCAUGGGUCUAUUUGAUGCUACGGGGCAAUUCAAUGCUAAUGUGCUGGAACCUGAAAUACACCUGAAAUACAGCAUGUUAACAUUGCACUGGCGAUAACACCUUCAGGUUGCUUACGCCUUAUGCCUCUCAAUGCAACCUAUGUGACAAAGCAAACACUAGGGCCCAGACUUACACACUUGUGUUAGGUAUCUAAGUGUACAUCUUUAUUGGUUGGUGCUGGCAGUUAGCUGGGUGCCCAACACACCUGACAGCACUGGCAGUGAUGACAUUAUAAGGCAGUCGCUA